rnacentral:tRNA from 1 species
GGGCCGGUAGCUCAGCUAGGUAGAGCGGCGGUCUCUAGACCCGUAGGUCGGGGGUUCAAGUCCCUCCCGGCCCA